UCAGGCCUAACACAUGCAAGUCGAACGGAUCACUUCGGUGGUUAGUGGCGAACGGGUGAGUAAUGCCUAGGAAUCUGCCUAUUAGCGGGGGAUAACGUUCCGAAAGGAACGCUAAUACCGCAUACGCCCUACGGGGGAAAGCAGGGGAUCUUCGGACCUUGCACUAAUAGAUGAGCCUAGGUCAGAUUAGCUAGUUGGUGGGGUAAAGGCUCACCAAGGCGACGAUCUGUAGCGGGUCUGAGAGGAUGAUCCGCCACACUGGAACUGAGACACGGUCCAGACUUCUACGGGAGGCAGCAGUGGGGAAUAUUGGACAAUGGGCGCAAGCCUGAUCCAAACAGGCCGCGUGUGUGAAGAAGGCCUUUUGGUGUAAAUUAAAGGAGCGAGGAGGAGGGCACUUAGGUUAAUACCCUGAU
rnacentral:rRNA from 1 species